AGAGAUGUUCACCUGGUUUGUCAGCACCAAACUCUGGACGAUAUCAUUUUGAUCAAUCCAUUUGAUGAUAAAGAUAAUGACUUUCUGCCUGAUCAUUUGGAACUGGACCGUCUCAAAACAGAUUCCAAGAUUGCAGAUCCCCCUGUUUUGGUUAUAACAGGCCACAUUUUCAGCGAAAGGAAAAAGAAGAGGCUGCAAAGUUCAGGCAUUUAUAAGGAUAUAAAAUUUGAGAAAAGGGGACCUGCUGCUUCAGCAAGGUAUUGGGUCUUGUUUGAUCAAAAGAACUGUAACCAAAUUGGAUUCCAAGUCAAAAUUGGACAGCCAAAUUUUCAGCUUCUUCACCAGAAAGCUUCACCUCUAACUGCUUCAGGAUG
rnacentral:lncRNA from 1 species